rnacentral:rRNA from 1 species
AGUUUGAUCCUGGCUCAGGAUGAACGCUGGCGGCGUGCCUAAUACAUGCAAGUCGAGCGAACGGACGAGAAGCUUGCUUCUCUGAUGUUAGCGGCGGACGGGUGAGUAACACGUGGAUAACCUACCUAUAAGACUGGGAUAACUUCGGGAAACCGGAGCUAAUACCGGAUAAUAUUUUGAACCGCAUGGUUCAAAAGUGAAAGACGGUCUUGCUGUCACUUAUAGAUGGAUCCGCGCUGCAUUAGCUAGUUGGUAAGGUAACGGCUUACCAAGGCAACGAUGCAUAGCCGACCUGAGAGGGUGAUCGGCCACACUGGAACUGAGACACGGUCCAGACUCCUACGGGAGGCAGCAGUAGGGAAUCUUCCGCAAUGGGCGAAAGCCUGACGGAGCAACGCCGCGUGAGUGAUGAAGGUCUUCGGAUCGUAAAACUCUGUUAUUAGGGAAGAACAUAUGUGUAAGUAACUGUGCACAUCUUGACGGUACCUAAUCAGAAAGCCACGGCUAACUACGUGCCAGCAGCCGCGGUAAUACGUAGGUGGCAAGCGUUAUCCGGAAUUAUUGGGCGUAAAGCGCGCGUAGGCGGUUUUUUAAGUCUGAUGUGAAAGCCCACGGCUCAACCGUGGAGGGUCAUUGGAAACUGGAAAACUUGAGUGCAGAAGAGGAAAGUGGAAUUCCAUGUGUAGCGGUGAAAUGCGCAGAGAUAUGGAGGAACACCAGUGGCGAAGGCGACUUUCUGGUCUGUAACUGACGCUGAUGUGCGAAAGCGUGGGGAUCAAACAGGAUUAGAUACCCUGGUAGUCCACGCCGUAAACGAUGAGUGCUAAGUGUUAGGGGGUUUCCGCCCCUUAGUGCUGCAGCUAACGCAUUAAGCACUCCGCCUGGGGAGUACGACCGCAAGGUUGAAACUCAAAGGAAUUGACGGGGACCCGCACAAGCGGUGGAGCAUGUGGUUUAAUUCGAAGCAACGCGAAGAACCUUACCAAAUCUUGACAUCCUUUGACAACUCUAGAGAUAGAGCCUUCCCCUUCGGGGGACAAAGUGACAGGUGGUGCAUGGUUGUCGUCAGCUCGUGUCGUGAGAUGUUGGGUUAAGUCCCGCAACGAGCGCAACCCUUAAGCUUAGUUGCCAUCAUUAAGUUGGGCACUCUAAGUUGACUGCCGGUGACAAACCGGAGGAAGGUGGGGAUGACGUCAAAUCAUCAUG